AUUUCUAUGCUUCUCUCCACACGGAGGAGACAGGAGCAGCAGAGGCAGAGAGAAGCCCCGCCCACAGCAUGUCCGGACAUAAACUCCAGCCUGUGCAGCCCUUACUCUAAUGAUAAACAUCAUUAUAACUGCCACCACCAGCACAAAGUCUAACUCCAGCUCAGUCAGCGCCAUCUUCACUCCUCUGUCUAUAACCCUCAAAGGACUCAGUCAGCCGGUCAGCCUGUAGAUACCCUAGACAGGAGGCCAUCAAAUGGUGACCGGCUGCCAUGGUUACCAUCGGGACCCUGUAGAGCAUACCAGCUGCAAGGAUGGACCCAUAUAUCCUGGGAAAAUAAGGGGUUAAAGAGGUAGGUCUAUCAUAAAUCCACAUGUUAUAACAAGGAUGUCUGAACUUGUAUCUCUGGAUGGCUAAGUUUCCACUGGAAUUUUUUUGGAUGUUUUGCCCCAAAAAAUGCCCAAUCAUUUGCACAAUGUUUUUCCUUUGGAAAAACGCACUGGUCAGAGCCAGAUGCUAGCAGGGAGUU